CAGCAGCCGCGGUAAUACGUAGGGUGCAAGCGUUAAUCGGAAUUACUGGGCGUAAAGCGUGCGCAGGCGGCUUUGCAAGACAGAUGUGAAAUCCCCGGGCUCAACCUGGGAACUGCAUUUGUGACUGCAUGGCUAGAGUACGGUAGAGGGGGAUGGAAUUCCGCGUGUAGCAGUGAAAUGCGUAGAUAUGCGGAGGAACACCGAUGGCGAAGGCAAUCCCCUGGACCUGUACUGACGCUCAUGCACGAAAGCGUGGGGAGCAAACAGGAUUAGAUACCCGCGUAGUCCCUGUCUCUUAUAC
rnacentral:rRNA from 1 species